rnacentral:misc_RNA from 1 species
GGACGCUUUCGAGCCGUCC